UGCGGAGGGAUCAUUACCGA
rnacentral:rRNA from 1 species